rnacentral:rRNA from 1 species
UACGUAGGCAGCGAGCGUUGUUCGGAAUUACUGGGCGUAAAGGGCGCGUAGGCGGUGCGGUAAGUCACCUGUGAAAACUCUGGGCUCAACUCAGAGCCUGCAGGCGAAACUGCCGUGCUUGAGUGUGGGAGAGGUGCGUGGAAUUCCCGGUGUAGCGGUGAAAUGCGCAGAUAUCAGGAGGAACACCAGUGGCGAAGGCGGUGCUCUGGGCCGGAACUGACGCUGAGGAGCGAAAGCGUGGGGAGCAAACAGG